CAGAAAGAGAGCUCCCUCCUGUCUCCCUCUACGAAACAAAGCUCUGCUAGGACACGCAUCAUCUCUCACCUCCAAGCUAGCAUAACCCAUCUUGUACUCCUGCUCUACUCUAGUCCUUGUAGCUGCGAUACCUCAUAGUUGGGGUUAGUUGCUUUUGGUACUCCAAAACAGAGAUGGAAAGAGCUCAGGAGGUGGAUCUGCUGGUGGUAGCGGUGCUGUGUAGUUUGGACCAGCCAUUAAUAGCCCUAUUAGUAGUUUUUAUAGCUUUAAUGCCCCUCUUUUAUGAUUUCCUGCUCUGAAAGUGACCCCUUUUGCAAGACAGUUAACGUUUAGUCUUUGUUUUGUUUUUGGCAUGGUGGUAUGCCUAAAUUCCUUUUAAGUAUU